GUAGAAGACUUUUCUUCCCAAGAAGAAUCUUAGCUUGGAGCACUUUGAUCAACAUCUUGAUCUGGACUGUGGGAUCAACUCUUUGAUCAGCAGCCUUCUUCUACUUCUUCUCAAUCUUCAAUCUCUAAGUCACCAAGCACUACCUUUUGGCAUGUAGAAGAGGGGACACCCAACUCUUGGGCGUGGAAAGGAAGAGAGAGAAAAGAGGAGUCAUGGAGAAGGGAGAGGG
rnacentral:lncRNA from 1 species